CUAUGGUCUGAGAAAUGGCUAUGGCAAAGGAG
ncrna:unclassified sequences L31-Firmicutes ribosomal protein leader